UGAGAAGUUUGCCCCUGUUCCUUAGUGGAAUGUUCAUGGGCAAAAUUUGCAUUUGCAUUUUUGAAUAAGAAUGUUAGAAUAUAAUACAAGACAUUUGAUUUGUGACUACGUCUUGAAGGACAAUAGAUCCAUGUUAGAAACCAUAAAUAAAAUGCCUUAGAAACCUUUUAAGGUUUAUUAUUGAUACAAAUUCUUAUUUAAAAAACUAAAUCCCCCUUUUACAUUUUUCUCUGUCUAUGGGACAAUUAACAUGUUUACCCGUAGACCUUUUAUGUUUGAAAACCGUGACCAUUUUAUGCUGUUAUUGGAAACUGUCUAUGUUCAUAAUAAAAACAAAUAUGCAAUAGCAGGGCCUAAAUUAUUCAGAGCAAUACGCAGCAUUUCCCGCUUUCGAAAAGGCGUUAGCAACACACACAGGUAACAGCUGAAAACUAUGCAAACCAUUCCCUGUCGCGCCGGGAUUACAACGCUCAGUCUGAUGUACACAUUCUCCAAGAAACGUGGUUGACGGUAACAAAAAAAAAAUUAAAAAGUGCAAGAAUAUGAAAUAAAUGACCAAGACAAAUUUGAAUACAAUUACAGGAAGAAAUUGAAUAUGAUACAGUGGUGUAAAAGGAAUUUCCAGCAUGACAGGGCCUAAAAUUUUGGUAAUCAUUAAAAAUUAAAAAAACUAAAAGUAUUCUGUUGCUUUACUGGACUUUAUUUAACUUUGUUUGGAGGAAAUUUUAAAAUUGAAAUGCCUUCUACAAUUUAUGCAAA
rnacentral:sRNA from 1 species